GUCGGGAAUAUUGCGCAAUGGAGGAAACUCUGACGCAGUGACUCCGCGUAUAGGAAGAAGGUUUUCGGAUUGUAAACUAUUGUCGUGAGGGAAGAGAAAGGACAGUACCUAAGGAGGAAGCUCCGGCUAACUACGUGCCAGCAGCCGCGGUAAUACGUAGGGAGCGAGCGUUAUCCGGAAUUAUUGGGGGUAAAGGGUGCGUAGACGGGAAUACAAGUUAGUUUUGAAAUCCCUCGGCUUAACUGAGGAACUGCAACUAAAACUAUAUUUCUUGAGUGCAGGAGAGGUAAGUGGAAUUACUAGUGUAGCGGUGAAAUGCGUAGAUAUUAGGAGGAACACCAGUGGCGAAGGCGACUUACUGGACUGUAACUGACGUUGAGGCACGAAAGUGUGGGGAGCAAACAGG
rnacentral:rRNA from 1 species